rnacentral:rRNA from 1 species
UACAGAGGUCUCAAGCGUUGUUCGGAUUCAUUGGGCGUAAAGGGUGUGUAGGUGGCGCGCUAAGUCGGGUGUGAAAUUUCGGAGCUUAACUCCGAAACUGCAUUCGAUACUGGCGUGCUUGAGGACUUGGAGAGGAGACUGGAAUUCAUGGUGUAGCAGUGAAAUGCGUAGAGAUCAUGAGGAAGACCAGUGGCGAAGGCGGGUCUCCUGGACAGUUCCGUGACACUUGAGACACGAAGGCCCAGGGGAGGCAAAACGGGG